CUUCGGACUCUCGCUCUCAAUCUCACUGGCGCUCUCAAUCUUGCUCCUCCGCUCCUUGAAUCUCUCUCGUUUCAACAAAUUUUAGGAUUGGAUUUGUUAUUCUCUGUUUUGAGGUAUAAAUGAGUUUAACUGCUCCUUCAAUUCAGUGGUGGGACUAGCAAGAAAACUUCACAAUCAGAUUUGCUAAUCAGAGUUGGAGAAUAACGGAAUAGAAUUUUGUGAAAGGAAUUGAAGACGGAGAGAAGCCAUGGCUCAUCGGUUUUUGUUUCGCUUUUCUGCUUUCAAGGUGUCUGAUUGAUCAAAAUCAAAGAACUAAUCAUUUAUCUCUAAUCAAGUCCUAUUGAUAUGCUU